GUUGUGGCCGGGUGGGGGUCGGCUCUGCUCGCACGUAACAGCGAUAGGACGAGAGGGAAUGGCCUUAAGUUGCGCUAGGGAGACUCGAGUCUCACAUGGAUAAAGAUGAGAGAGAGCACCUCUGUCCCAAGGGGGCAGUCACCAUCUCAGAUGACCGUACUGGAAAAUGUGUCUGUUCCCGUCACUCCAUGUCCAGCAUAUUGUGAGCAAACAUGGAGCCAGCAGAGAGAAGAGCUGAGUCUGCAGAAGACAUUGCAGCAGCAGCGAUGGCUCCCAAGCCAG